rnacentral:rRNA from 1 species
UACGUAGGGACCGAGCGUUGUCCGGAAUUAUUGGGCGUAAAGAGCUCGUAGGCGGUUUGUCGCGUCUGCUGUGAAAACUCGAGGCUCAACCUCGGGCUUGCAGUGGGUACGGGCAGACUAGAGUGCGGUAGGGGGUGACUGGAAUUCCUGGUGUAGCGGUGGAAUGCGCAGAUAUCUGGAGGAAUACCGGUGGCGAAGGCGGCAUCCUGGACCGGCAUUGACGCUGAACAGCGAAAGCUAGGGGAGCAAACGGG